rnacentral:rRNA from 1 species
UACGGUAGGUGGCAAGCGUUGUUCGGAAUUAUUGGGCGUAAAGAGCGCGCAGGCGGUCGUUCAAGUCGAGUGUGAAAGCCCCCGGCUCAACUGGGGAGGGUCAUUCGAUACUGAUCGACUCGAAGGCAGGAGAGGGAAGUGGAAUUCCCGGUGUAGUGGUGAAAUGCGUAGAUAUCGGGAGGAACACCAGUGGCGAAGGCAGCUCGCUGGGACGUUACUGACGCUGAGACGCGAAAGCGUGGGGAGCAAACAGGG